UAAUCUGAUUGAGGCAAAUCCUCAUUUAGUUAUGACAAACCCACACUUGACUGCUUAGAAUCACCCGUUAUCACAAGCUCGACUACAUCAUUGACAUUGAAAAAUAAAGGAGAACUACUGUAUGAAUAAUAACUUUCUGUUA
rnacentral:pre_miRNA from 13 species